UACGUAGGGUGCAAGCGUUGUCCGGAAUUAUUGGGCGUAAAGAGCUCGUAGGCGGUUUGUCGCGUCUGCUGUGAAAACUCGGGGCUUAACUCCGGGCCUGCAGUGGGUACGGGCAGACUAGAGUGCGGUAGGGGAGAUUGGAGUUCCUGGUGUAGCGGUGGAAUGCGCAGAUAUCAGGAGGAACACCAAUGGCGAAGGCAGAUCUCUGGGCCGUAACUGACGCUGAGGAGCGAAAGCAUGGGGAGCGAACAGG
rnacentral:rRNA from 1 species